AGUGAACGCUGGCGGUAGGCCUAACACAUGCAAGUCGAACGGCAGCACAGUAAGAGCUUGCUCUUACGGGUGGCGAGUGGCGGACGGGUGAGGAAUACAUCGGAAUCUACUUUUUCGUGGGGGAUAACGUAGGGAAACUUACGCUAAUACCGCAUACGACCUACGGGUGAAAGCAGGGGAUCUUCGGACCUUGCGCGAUUGAAUGAGCCGAUGUCGGAUUAGCUAGUUGGCGGGGGAAAGGCCCACCAAGGCGACGAUCCGUAGCUGGUCUGAGAGGAUGAUCACCCACACUGUAACUGAGACACGGGGCCGACACUCCCGGGAGGGAGAACAGGGGAAUAUAUCGGAAUGGGCGCAAGCCCGAGAUAGAGACAUCGCGCGAGGGAGGAAGGGCCUCGGAUCGUAAAACGCUCUUUUUUGGGAAGAAAAAAUGAGCAAGUAAAUACCCCCAUCUUGAGGGUAUCCAAAAAGAAAGAGCCGGGUAAAUCUGCG
rnacentral:rRNA from 1 species